UUCCUACGGGGCGCAGCAGUGGGGAAUAUUGGGCAAUGGGCGCAAGCCUGACCCAGCAACGCCGCGUGAAGGAAGAAGGCCCUCGGGUUGUAAACUUCUUUUGUCAGGGACGAAGCAAGUGACGGUACCUGACGAAUAAGCCACGGCUAACUACGUGCCAGCAGCCGCGGUAAUACGUAGGUGGCAAGCGUUAUCCGGAUUUACUGGGUGUAAAGGGCGUGUAGGCGGGGAAGCAAGUCAGAUGUGAAACUCCAGGGCUCAACCCGGGAACUGCAUUUGAAACUGUUUUUCUUGAGUGAUGGAGG
rnacentral:rRNA from 1 species